UACGUAGGGUGCAAGCGUUGUCCGGAAUUAUUGGGCGUAAAGAGCUCGUAGGCGGUCUGUCGCGUCGGCUGUGAAAACUCGGGGCUCAACUCCGAGCUUGCAGUCGAUACAGGCAGGCUAGAGUUCGGCAGGGGAGACUGGAAUUCCUGGUGUAGCGGUGAAAUGCGCAGAUAUCAGGAGGAACACCGGUGGCGAAGGCGGGUCUCUGGGCCGAUACUGACGCUGAGGAGCGAAAGCGUGGGGAGCAAACAGG
rnacentral:rRNA from 1 species